rnacentral:lncRNA from 1 species
UUUAGAUAAUUCUGUAUUGUAGCGCCCAGCUGGAGUGCACGAUUUACUGAGCAUGCCUAUUGUAGGCCUACGCACUGCAAUGUACCUUCCUUUUAAGAGGGUAUUUUUGUACUUCAGAGUUCAGACUGGCUUCUGAAAUAUAUAGAUGAACAUCUCCCACUCGCAGAUGAAGAGAUGAAGAAUGCCACCUACAGUUAAGGUUGGUCUUUUUUGGCAUGCACAAUGUUUGGGAUACAGCUAAAAGCUAAAAAAGGAAUGGAUUGCUAGUAAAUCUCACAACCCAACAUGAUCCAUUCAUUAUUGUUUGGGACUAAACCUAGAUGUUACUAUAAAAUCAAUAAAAACCUGACCUUUUGGUGAUGGAAGAUAGCUAGCUGUUUGAGUCUGAAGUCAGUCAGGAGGCAGGGUAGUCUAUAAAGGUGAUAUCUAACUAAAUAAGAUCUAUAGAGGGGAGAAUGAGUAUUCAUGAAGCCAAGUUCAUAAGAUGCCCCAUAAGAUGCUUUGAAAGGACAAUAUAGAGCAGAGUGUAAACUGGAGCUUGUGAUUAGAAUACAAUAGGUGGGAAAGCAGGAGGGAAGGGAAGGAAGGAGGGGCAUACAAGCAAAGAACCCAUAAGGACAAAGGGGUCACAAAAUCUAAUCUAGGUAAUGGGAUAAGAAUCUGUAGUCCCUGUUUAAACCAUGUUUAAUACAGUCCAGUUGGAUGAUUUUUGUUCUGCAAUUUCCCAUUCAAACUGGUUUUUAACAUUUUUUUGGCAUGAGAAGAGCAAUCUUGAGGUCCUUGAUGGAGUGUCCAGGGAGAGUGAAGGUUAAAGCAUUCUUUUGUUGGUGUGCCAAAUUCAUCUCUGGAGUUACCUCAUCAGUGGAGUCAUACCAGGAAAUACAGUAAUUAGGCCCAGACUAUCUAUUCCAGCAAUCUUUAACUUUAUCCCAAUCAUUGUCAGAAUCAAGUAUGUAUACGGUUUACAUGACAUGCUGAAUACUUCCUACCUCACUUUCU